rnacentral:rRNA from 1 species
UACGGAGGGGGCUAGCGUUGUUCGGAAUUACUGGGCGUAAAGCGCGCGUAGGCGGAUCGCUAAGUCAGGGGUGAAAUCCCAGGGCUCAACCCUGGAACUGCCUUUUGAUACUGACGAUCUGGAGAUCGGGAGAGGUUGGUGGAAUUCCGAGUGUAGAGGUGAAAUUCGUAGAUAUUCGGAGGAACACCAGAAGCGAAGGCGGCCAACUGGCCCGAUACUGACGCUGAGGCGCGAAAGCCGUGGGGGAGCAAAACAGG